rnacentral:rRNA from 1 species
AAGGAAUGGUGGACUGUCUUGAAGAGAGAAUGCCGGAAUGAGUAGCGAGAUUGAAGUGAGAAUCUUCAAGGCCGAAUAUCUAAGGUUUCCAGGGUAAAGCUGAUCUGCCUGGGUAAGUCGGGGCCUAAGGCAAGGUCGAAAGACGUAGUCGAUGGAUAACAGGUUGAAAUUCCUGUACUGCAUCAAAUCAGAAAUGUGGGGACACAUGAGGGAAGCAUGAGCCGGAAAAGGAAAGUCCGGUACAAGCGCAGCAGAGGACAGAUAGGCAAAUCCGUCUGUCAACUCAAGGGCGCGAUGUGGAGCGAACCAAAGUAGCGAAGCAUGUGGAGCUUGUGUCGAGAAAAGCCGCUAUUGUGUUUGAUGUACCCGUACCGUAAACCGACACAGGUGAUGAGGAGAGAAUCCUAAGGCCGGCGGGAGAAGCAUUGUUAAGGAACUCGGCAAAAUGACCCCGUAACUUCGGGAGAGGGGUGCUCCAGAGAUGGAGCCGCAGAGAACUGGCCCAAGCAACUGUUUAGCAAAAACACAGGUCUAUGCAAAACCGAAAGGUGAGGUAUAUGGGCUG